rnacentral:rRNA from 1 species
UACGGGGGGUCCAAGCGUUGUUCGGAAUCACUGGGCGUAAAGCGUAUGUAGGUGGACUUCUCAGUCAUGUGUGAAAGCCCAGGGCUUAACCCUGGAAGUGCAUGUGAAACUAGUUGUCUUGAGUACUAGAGAGGAUAGUGGAAUUCCUGGUGUAGUGGUGAAAUACGUAGAUAUCAGGAGGAACAUCGGCGGCGAAGGCGGCUAUCUGGCUAGAUACUGACACUGAGAUACGAAAGCGUGGGGAGCAAACAGG